ACCUGGCUGGCUCAGUCAGAAGAGCAUGGGACUCUUGAUCACAGGGUUGUGAGUUCGAGCCCCACGUUAGGUG
rnacentral:tRNA from 1 species